AGAAUCAACGCUGGCGGCGUGCCUAACACAUGCAAGUCGAACGAGAAAGUGGUAGCAAUACCAUGAGUAAAGUGGCGCACGGGUGAGUAACACGUGACUAACCUACCCUGGAGUGGGGGAUAACUGAGGGAAACCUUAGCUAAUACCGCAUAACACCUACGGGUCAAAGGAGCAAUUCGCUUCAGGAGGGGGUCGCGGCAGAUUAGCUAGUUGGCGGGGUAAUGGCCCACCAAGGCAGUGAUCUGUAUCCGGCCUGAGAGGGCGCACGGACACACUGGAACUGAAACACGGUCCAGACUCCUACGGGAGGCAGCAGUGGGGAAUUUUGCGCAAUGGGGGAAACCCUGACGCAGCAACGCCGCGUGGAGGAUGAAGUCCUUCGGGACGUAAACUCCUUUCGAUCGGGACGAUAAUGACGGUACCGAGAGAAGAAGCCCGGCUAACUCGCGCCAGCAGCCGC
rnacentral:rRNA from 1 species